rnacentral:sRNA from 10 species
UAGUGUGUAGGAGAGGUUUUAAUUAAGCAGUGGAAACAAGGAAACACUUGUUUAAUUAAAACCAAUAU